UCGAACGAAGCACUUGAAUGGAAUUCUUCGGAAGGAAGCUCAAGUGACUGAGUGGCGGACGGGUGAGUAACGCGUGGGUAACCUGCCUCAUACAGGGGGAUAACAGUUAGAAAUGACUGCUAAUACCGCAUAAGCACACGUGAUCGCAUGAUCGAGUGUGAAAAACUCCGGUGGUAUGAGAUGGACCCGCGUCUGAUUAGCUAGUUGGUGGGGUAACGGCCCACCAAGGCGACGAUCAGUAGCCGGCCUGAGAGGGUGAACGGCCACAUUGGGACUGAGACACGGCCCAAACUCCUACGGGAGGCAGCAGUGGGGAAUAUUGCACAAUGGGGGAAACCCUGAUGCAGCGACGCCGCGUGAAGGAUGAAGUAUUUCGGUAUGUAAACUUCUAUCAGCAGGGAAGAAAAUGACGGUACCUGACUAAGAAGCCCCGGCUAACUACGUGCCAGCAGCCGCGGUAAUACGUAGGGGGCAAGCGUUAUCCGGAUUUACUGGGUGUAAAGGGAGCGUAGACGGCAGUGCAAGUCUGAAGUGAAAGCCCGGGGCUCAACCCCGGGACUGCUUUGGAAACUGUGCAGCUAGAGUGUCGGAGAGGCAAGCGGAAUUCCUAGUGUAGCGGUGAAAUGCGUAGAUAUUAGGAGGAACACCAGUGGCGAAGGCGGCUUGCUGGACGAUGACUGAC
rnacentral:rRNA from 1 species